ensembl:lncRNA
UCACUUUUCUUCCUCCUGGCAUUUUUCCCCUUCCUCCCCCAGGUUCACAUGGGAAUCAAUUACCUUCCCAUGUGAUGUUAAGAUGUCCCUGGGGAGGAGAGGUGGAACGUCACUCCUAUGACAGGUGGAACGUGACAAACACUGGAGCAGAGAAAAAGAGCAACAGGUUCCUGUGGCUCCUCUCCUCGGACCCCCGCGAGCAAACCGCCAGCUCUCCAUUGCAUUCUGGAUUUCUGCUCACUUGGCUUUUGCUCAGUGUCUCAGGUGCAGCUAGGUUCUAGGGCCCCUUGGAGAAACCGUGAAGAGUUCCAGUCUUGUACCAUGACUCCAAGAAACAAAAUGAGAUCGAGUUCAGCACUGGGAAGGUUAGAGACCUCUGAGGACUGGAGCAUCCUGAAUGCAGCUGCAGUUGUUGCUGAGUCAGUGGUUCCUCGGGCUCCAUCCUGUCUGGCUGGGCUGAGGUCACAGAAGGCAGAAACUCAGAGACCAGCCCCUCCAGACUGGCUGCUGAAGGAGUACCUGAAAGGGCAAAGGAUGAGAAGCCAUUCUGUAGACAUGGAAGACGUAGCCCAGGGGAAAACUCCACCACCUCACGCGGACCUGACCAGGAGCCUGAGGAGAGGAAAGAUUGAACAUCAAGUGACCCUGGAAGAUCUGAAAAAACUAAACAUAGCCUUUCAGGAUGACUUCUGUACCUACCUACAGCUAGAGUAUUCAGAACAGUCUGGCUUAUUGGCCCGGCAGAAAGAGGUUUACUUUGCCAUGCCUGCAUUGUCCCAGGGGCUAUCUCACAGUGGGCCUGUCCUUCGAAUUUUCUCUCUGCCUGAUGAUACUUUAAUCAUGAUGGGAGAACAUGGAGUCAUUUCUUUCUGGUCGCCACAGCUGACAUUGAAAAGAAGAAAGCUGGUUUUCGACAAAGCCAUUAACCGGAAAUCUAAGUGGGUGACGGAUUUUAUAAGCAUGCCACAGUAUAACAAACUGCUCGUUGGGACUGGAGAUCGUGAAAUCCAGCUGUAUGAACUCUCCAAUAUGGAGCCUUAUUGUCAGAUUGGCAGCUUGGAUAGCAUACCUCUGAAACUAGACUACUGUUACGUGGAUCCCGACAAAUGCUUGAUUUUGUAUGGCGAUGACCAGGGAUGCGUGAACAUUCUGUUUUUGGCUUCUGUGGGAGAGCUAUUAAGAACCUGGAAGAAGCUGCCUCCAGUAGAAAACAUGCCAACUGUUAGAAUUGGCAGUGCAUUGUGUUCUCCCAAUGUCAAAUAUGUUCGUUGGAAAGUACACGAAGACUGGGUGACUCAGCACAUUUGAAGUUGCUGCGCUAAAAUAUCCUACUGGUUCCUGUGCGUGAAGAGGAUGUUUCUUUUCCUUUAUCCCAGAGAAUGAGUUGGUUAAAAUGACUCAGUGCUCCUAGGACGAUGACAUGCCCCUGUGACUUCUCAUCUGGGGGGACUUAUAUCAGUGCAGUUGAAGUUCUUCUGAAAGCAAGGCAUUGUCCUUCAUAUUGAAUCCAUGCUGAAGUUAGCUCCAAAGAGAACUGCUGAUCCAGGAAAGAAGAGCAGGAGGAUGUUCUGAGCACAGGUGCUUCAGAACAAUUGGAAUGGUGACACCUGUUAGACGAAGGUAAACUGACAUGGAGCAGCUAGGUGGCACAGCACUGGACCUGGAGUCAGGAAGACUCAUCUUCCUGAGUUCAAAUCCAACCCCAGACACUUACUAGCUGAAUGACCCUGGACAAGUCACUUGACUUUGUUUGCCUCAGUUUCCUCAUCUGUAAAAUGACCUGGAGAAGGAAACAGCAAAUCACUCCAGUAUCUUUGCAAAAAAAAAAAAUCCAAACAGGGUCAUGAAGAGUUGGACACAACUGAAACAACUAAACAACAAACUGGCAUUUAUAUAUCUCUGUCCAAAUUUCUAAGUCUCCUUUGAACAAAUAGAGAGUUAAACUGGACGAUGGGGAGUAGCAUUAAAAUAGUCUUAUUUAUAAAAAGGGAGGAGGAAUGGGAGUGUGGGAAAAUACCAUAGAGGGAAGAAAUAGCCAUUAAAAGCAUCAAGGCAAUUUGAUAGGUGAAAUGGGGAAUAAAAAGACAAAGAAAGGCUUGAAAAGAAAAAAA